rnacentral:piRNA from 1 species
UGAGAGCCUCGUUCUGCCCUGGAA